GAUGAAGAACGUAGCGAAAUGCGAUAAGUAAUGUGAAUUGCAGAAUUCAAUGAAUCAUCGAAUCUUUGAACGCACAUUGCGCCCCUUGGUAUUCCGAGGGGCAUGCCUAUUCGAGCGUCAUUAUCACCCCUCAAGCCUAGCUUGGUGUUGAGGCCUGCUGUCAAGGCAGCCUCUAAAAUCAGUGGCAGUGCUGUCAGGCUCUAAGCGUAGUAAAUCUAAUCGCUAUAGACACCUGGUGGACACUCGCCAGAACCCCCCCCCAUUUUUUAAUGAUUGACCUCGGAUUAGGUAGGGAUACCCGCUGAACUUAAGCAUAUCAAUAAGCGGAGGA
rnacentral:misc_RNA from 1 species